CGGGCGUUAAGUUGCAGGGUAUAGACCCGAAACCCGGUGAUCUAGCCAUGGGCAGGUUGAAGGUUGGGUAACACUAACUGGAGGACCGAACCGACUAAUGUUGAAAAAUUAGCGGAUGACCUGUGGCUGGGGGUGAAAGGCCAAUCAAACCGGGAGAUAGCUGGUUCUCCCCGAAAGCUAUUUAGGUAGCGCCUCGUGAAUUCAUCUCCGGGGGUAGAGCACUGUUUCGGCUAGGGGGCCAUCCCGGCUUACCAACCCGAUGCAAACUGCGAAUACCGGAGAAUGUUAUCACGGGAGACACACGGCGGGUGCUAACGUCCGUCGUGAAGAGGGAAACAACCCAGACCGCCAGCUAAGGUCCCAAAGUCAUGGUUAAGUGGGAAACGAUGUGGGAAGGCCCAGACAGCCAGGAUGUUGGCUUAGAAGCAGCCAUCAUUUAAAGAAAGCGUAAUAGCUCACUGGUCGAGUCGGCCUGCGCGGAAGAUGUAACGGGGCUAAACCAUGCACCGAAGCUGCGGCAGCGACGCUGAUGCGUUGUUGGGUAGGGGAGCGUUCUGUAAGCCUGCGAAGGUGGCCUGUGAGGGUUGCUGGAGGUAUCAGAAGUGCGAAUGCUGACAUAAGUAACGAUAAAGCGGGUGAAAAGCCCGCUCGCCGGAAGACCAAGGGUUCCUGUCCAACGUUAAUCGGGGCAGGGUGAGUCGACCCCUAAGGCGAGGCCGAAAGGCGUAGUCGAUGGGAAACGGGUUAAUAUUCCCGUACUUGGUGUUACUGCGAAGGGGGGACGGAGAAGGCUAUGUUGGCCGGGCGACGGUU
rnacentral:rRNA from 1 species